rnacentral:rRNA from 1 species
AUUGAACGCUGGCGGCAGGCCUAACACAUGCAAGUCGAGCGGUAGCACAGAGAGCUUGCUCUCGGGUGACGAGCGGCGGACGGGUGAGUAAUGCCUGGGAAACUGCCUGAUGGAGGGGGAUAACUACUGGAAACGGUAGCUAAUACCGCAUAACGUCGCAAGACCAAAGAGGGGGACCUUCGGGCCUCUUGCCAUCAGAUGUGCCCAGAUGGGAUUAGCUAGUAGGUGGGGUAACGGCUCACCUAGGCGACGAUCCCUAGCUGGUCUGAGAGGAUGACCAGCCACACUGGAACUGAGACACGGUCCAGACUCCUACGGGAGGCAGCAGUGGGGAAUGUUGCACAAUGGGCGCAAGCCUGAUGCAGCCAUGCCGCGUGUAUGAAGAAGGCCUUCGGGUUGUAAAGUACUUUCAGCGGGGAGGAAGGCGAUAAGGUUAAUAACCUUGUCGAUUGACGUUACCCGCAGAAGAAGCACCGGCUAACUCCGUGCCAGCAGCCGCGGUAA